UGAAGGUCAAAGGGGAAGUUAAGAAAAGCUGUAUCGAUUGUUGAGAUCUGGCGACUUGCUUAAAUUUCAUCAGCCUCACUUCUAUGGACUCUCAGACAGCUCACAGUAUGGCAGCUGACAUUCUACAGAGUGAGCAGGUGAAGGAAAGAAAGAAAAGGCCUCACGUGUACCAGCUCUCUGCUCUCCUUUGCCUUGGGACGUUCCAUCCCUGGAAGUUUCCCUGCCCACAUCUUUGUAGAGAGUCCAUUCUCCAAGCUUCAGUGUGUCAUCUGUUAGGACUAUGACCCACCUGGUACAUUACCUCAGGGCAUUCAUUUCAGGCUCCUUCUAAGUGGUCAAGGUAUUAUGGUUGACCCAAAAGAAGUAUCAGCUUGGCUUUGCACCAAAGAAGUUUUUAGUCAAGUUGGAGAGAGAUCAGUACUCAAAGAACAUGAGAGACUAAUGGAAGACAGAAUAUAUUGGCAGCAGACUAAAAGGCAGAAUGGUCACACUUCAAAAUGUUUGGUACAAGCUAUGGUGAUGUUAUUAAUCUUCUGAUUUGAUGUUCCUGUGAAGGUUCUAUGACCUAUUUUGAUAUGUAGACAGUGGUAAAAUGCUCAAAGCUCUUU
rnacentral:lncRNA from 1 species